GUUUUUAAUAUUAUGAUUUAAGGGUUGUUUAAUUAUGUUUUAAUAAAAGUAAUUUUAUUUGACUAUGUCUUAGUAUGGUUUACAGAAUUGAUUAUUUUAGUUAUAGUUUACUAGUAAUGUGAAUGGAUUAUAUUUUUUAUAAAUUUAUAAAAGUAUGUUUGAUUAAUAGUACCUUUUGUAUCAGGGUUUAUUAAAAUAUUUGUAUUUAUUAUACUUUUCUCGAAUUGAAUUGAUUUACAACCAAAUAAUAUUUAGUGUAUUAUAUUUAUUAUGAAUUUGGUUGUGGAAAUGAGAUGUUAUUCGUUUUUCAAGAUAUCUAGUUUCUUAAGAAGAAAUUUAAUUUUUUAAAAUUUUUGGGUGUACCUUAAUUUAAAGGUAGUCUUAAUUAUUUAAUUAUUUUAUAGGGGACAAGCUCUGUGGAAUUAUAUUCUAUAAUAUUAUUAAAAUUAAUAUAAUAGUAGGCUUUAAAUCAGCCAUCAUAUGGAUUACGUUUUAGUUCAUUAUUUUUAAUUAUGAUUUUUUAGUCAUUUUAGGUUUAAAAUUAAGAUUUUUAAUUAAAUUUUUAAAUUAUUGUGAUAAUGAUAAAAUUAGUAUAUUUUUUUGUAAUUUGUUUAUUAUUUGAGAAUUUAUUCAAAGGAACUAGGCAAAUUUAAUUCUCGCCUGUUUAACAAAAACAUGUCCUUUUGAUAAGAAUUUAAGGUCUGGCCUGCUCACUGAAAGAGUUUAAAGAGCCGCGGUAUUUUGACCGUGCAAAGGUAGCAUAAUCAUUAGUCUUUUAAUUGAAGGCUGGAAUGAAUGGCUUGACGAGGAAUUAACUGUCUCUGAAUAAACUAUUGAAUUUAACUUUUAAGUCAAAAGGCUUAAAUUUUUUUUAAGGACGAGAAGACCCUAUAGAGCUUGAUAUUUAAAUUUUAUAUAGUUUUUAGAUUAUUUUUCUAUUUAUUUUAAUUAUAUUUUGUUGGGGUGACAGGAAGAAUUAAAUAACUCUUCAUUUUUAGUUCAUUAAUUUAUGUUUUUUUGAUCCAUAAUUUAUGAUUAAAAGAUAAAGUUACCUUAGGGAUAACAGCGUAAUUAUUUUUGAGAGUUCAUAUCGACAAAGUAGAUUGCGACCUCGAUGUUGGAUUAAGAAAAAUUACGGGCGCAGUAGCUCGUAAAUUAGGUCUGUUCGACCUUUAAAUUCUUACAUGAUCUGAGUUCAGACCGGCGUGAGCCAGGUCGGUUUCUAUCCUAAAUAAAAAUACUUGAAUUAGUACGAAAGGACCAUUUAGGUGAAAUAUUUUUUAAUAUAGGAUUAAUAUUAAUUG
rnacentral:rRNA from 1 species